rnacentral:rRNA from 1 species
AAGUCGAACGAGACGAUUGAAAGCUUGCUUUUGAAAGUCGAGUGGCAAACGGGUGAGUAACGCGUAGACAACCUGCCGUAAAGAUGGGGACAACAGUCCGAAAGGACUGCUAAUACCGAAUGUUGUGGAACUUCCGCAUGGGAGCUCUACUAAAGAUGGCCUCUACUUGUAAGCUAUCGCUUUACGAUGGGUCUGCGUCUGAUUAGCUAGUUGGUAGGGUAACGGCCUACCAAGGCGACGAUCAGUAGCCGGUCUGAGAGGAUGAACGGCCACAUUGGAACUGAGACACGGUCCAGACUCCUACGGGAGGCAGCAGUGGGGAAUCUUCCGCAAUGGGCGCAAGCCUGACGGAGCAACGCCGCGUGAGUGAAGAAGGGUUUCGACUCGUAAAGCUCUGUUGUCGGGGACGAAUGUGGAGAUGGUGAAUAACCAUUUCCAAUGACGGUACCUGACGAGGAAGCCACGGCUAACUACGUGCCAGCAGCCGCGGUAAUACGUAGGUGGCGAGCGUUGUCCGGAAUUAUUGGGCGUAAAGGGAGCGCAGGCGGGAGAUCAAGUCUAUCUUAAAAGUGCGGGGCUCAACCCCGUGAGGGGAUGGAAACUGGUCUUCUUGAGUGCAGGAGAGGAAAGCGGAAUUCCUAGUGUAGCGGUGAAAUGCGUAGAUAUUAGGAGGGACACCAGUGGCGAAGGCGGCUUUCUGGACUGUAACUGACGCUGAGGCUCGAAAGCGUGGGGAGCGAACAGGAUUAGAUACCCUGGUAGUCCACGCCGUAAACGAUGAAUGCUAGGUGUAGGAGGUAUCGACCCCUCCUGUGCCGGAGUUAACGCAAUA